rnacentral:rRNA from 1 species
AUACGGAGGGUGCAAGCGUUACUCGGAAUCACUGGGCGUAAAGCGCGCGCAGGCGGCUUGGUAAGUUGGAUGUGAAAGCCUACGGCUCAACCGUAGAACUGCAUCCAAAACUGCCAAGCUAGAGUGUGGGAGAGGAAGAUGGAAUUAGUUGUGUAGGGGUAAAAUCCGUAGAGAUAACUAGGAAUACCAAAAGCGAAGGCAAUCUUCUGGAACAGUACUGACGCUGAGGCGCGAAAGCGUGGGGAGCAAACAGGAUUAGAUACCCUUGUAGUCC